AUUGAACGCUGGCGGCAUGCUUUACACAUGCAAGUCGAACGGUAACAGGCCGCAAGGUGCUGACGAGUGGCGAACGGGUGAGUAAUGCAUCGGAACGUGCCCAGUCGUGGGGGAUAACGCAGCGAAAGCUGCGCUAAUACCGCAUACGAUCUAUGGAUGAAAGCGGGGGACCGUAAGGCCUCGCGCGAUUGGAGCGGCCGAUGUCAGAUUAGGUAGUUGGUGGGGUAAAGGCUCACCAAGCCAACGAUCUGUAGCUGGUCUGAGAGGACGACCAGCCACACUGGGACUGAGACACGGCCCAGACUCCUACGGGAGGCAGCAGUGGGGAAUUUUGGACAAUGGGCGCAAGCCUGAUCCAGCAAUGCCGCGUGCAGGAAGAAGGCCUUCGGGUUGUAAACUGCUUUGUACGGAACGAAACGGUCCUGGUUAAUACCCGGGGCUAAUGACGGUACCGUAAGAGUAAGCACCGGCUAACUACGUGCCAGCAGCCGCCGUAACAC
rnacentral:rRNA from 1 species